rnacentral:misc_RNA from 1 species
UAGAUGUUCCAAUAACUAGAAAUCAGUAGACUAACAAAAUACCAGGAAGCCAAGUAAAACCCUUCACAAGAGAAUGAAUGGACAAAUGAUCAAGCAGCAAAACCUUAUCCAAAAUUCAAUUUGCCACAAGACGCCCCUCCCUAGAAGAAUCACUUAAUGGCAAAUCCCUGUGGCACUAGCAUUCCGAAAGUGAUGGUUGAGAAGCAGCUUAUAGUUGCCAUUCAAUGGGAGGCAUUCCCAUCUUUUCCAAAAGUUGGUUUGUCUGUGAAAAAUGCCUAGUUUUCGAAUUCAUUGUUAUAGCUGCUUCCAUUUGUUCCUUUGGCAGGUGGGAGAGCAGAG